rnacentral:rRNA from 1 species
UGGGGAAUAUUGGACAAUGGGGGAAACCCUGAUCCAGCCAUGCCGCGUGUGUGAUGAAGGCCUUCGGGUUGUAAAGCACUUUCGCACGUGACGAUGAUGACGGUAACGUGAGAAGAAGCCCCGGCUAACUUCGUGCCAGCAGCCGCGGUAAUACGAAGGGGGCAAGCGUUGUUCGGAAUUACUGGGCGUAAAGGGCGCGUAGGCGGUGUAUUAAGUUAGGCGUGAAAGCCCUGGGCUCAACCCGGGAAUUGCGCUUGAUACUGGUACGCUAGAAUCCAGGAGAGGUUGGUGGAAUUCCCAGUGUAGAGGUGAAAUUCGUAGAGAUUGGGAAGAACACCGGUGGCGAAGGCGGCCAACUGGACUGGUAUUGACGCUGAGGCGCGAAAGCGUGGGGAGCAAA